CGUAGGGUGCGAGCGUUAAUCGGAAUUACUGGGCGUAAAGGGUGCGCAGGCGGUUAUGUAAGUCAGAUGUGAAAUCCCCGGGCUCAACCUGGGAAUGGCAUUUGAGACUGUAUAGCUAGAGUGUGUCAGAGGGGGUAGAAUUCCACGUGUAGCAGUGAAAUGCGUAGAUAUGUGGAGGAAUACCGAUGGCGAAGGCAGCCCCCUGGGAUAACACUGACGCUCAAGCACGAAAGCGUGGGGAGCAAACAGGAUUAGAUACCCUGGUAGUCCACGCCCUAAACGAUGUCAACUAGUUGUUGGGACUUAAAUAGUCUUGGUAACGUAGCUAACGCGCGAAGUUGACCGCCUGGGGAGUACGGUCGCAAGAUUA
rnacentral:rRNA from 1 species